CAAAACUCUGGUUGAAAGCUAAUUAAGAGAUGAUGGGAAAGUUUUCUCCUAAACUAAUGAUUCUGGUGGCCGUCUUUCUACUAUUACUUCAUGCCAAUUCUAUCAUCUCAGAUGAUGAUUGUCGAUAUAUUAAAAAAUCGAGGAAGUUGAUUCAAGAUUGGCAACAGAGCAUCAUAGCUUCCAAGAGUCAAAGAAAGCUAAGAAAAGUGCCAUCUCCACCGUCACCAAAGCGAGGCAAAACUCGAAAUCUAAUAAACGAAAGUAUAUAAAUUUGAUUGGUUCAAUUCAUGUUCAUGUUUUUAGUUAAACCGGAAAAAAAAACGACACGCGAUGUCAAUAACAAGUUGUACACAUUUUUUUUAAUUCAAUAGACAUUAUUUUUUAUGUUAUAAA